UGUAGCACCUCUCCCUUCACUCUCUUUCUCCUGUUUGGCCGUGUACCAAGUUCCUGCCUGUCUUCUGUCUUCACCCGUGACCCCCUAGAAAAGACUGACAUUCCUAUUAGUAGGACAGUGCCUCAAGUAGUUGGCUCCUUUCCCACCGGCUACUUUGUAACUGCGAAUAUGACAACAUGACGGUGAUUCACAGAUGCCAAAAUAUGACGAGCAGAGCAAAUCUGUGUUCCAGAUAUGAUAAGGUGAGAAAAGCGGAACUCUCGGCCCCAGGUGAUUUCCAUGAAGACACCUACAUACGGCGGGCCUCACUAUCUGUACCAUGCAGCCGCCAACUCUAAUAACCUGGCCAGGAGAGAAACACAUCUAAAAAUGCAAAUGAAUGAAAAAAAUAAAACUGGGUUGCAUAGUA
rnacentral:lncRNA from 10 species